rnacentral:rRNA from 1 species
GACGAACGCUGGCGGCGUGCUUAACACAUGCAAGUCGAGCGGUAAGGCCCUUUCGGGGGUACACGAGCGGCGAACGGGUGAGUAACACGUGGGUGACCUGCCCUCAGCUCUGGGGAUAAGCCUGGGAAACUGGGUCUAAUACUGGAUAUGACUCCACGGUGCAUGUCGUGGGGUGGAAAGCCUUGUGCGGCUGAGGAUGGGCCCGCGGCCUAUCAGCUUGUUGGUGGGGUGAUGGCCUACCAAGGCGACGACGGGUAGCCGGCCUGAGAGGGCGACCGGCCACACUGGGACUGAGACACGGCCCAGACUCUACGGGAGGCAGCAGUGGGGAAUCUUGCGCAAUGGGCAAAAGCCUGACGCAGCGACGCCGCGUGAGGGAU